CUGUGCAUUGCAUGGUCUGACCCUUCUGAAUUUUCUGGAACGUCUUAACCUGGUAAAAUUGGCAAUUGACAACUGUCUUUAAUGAUUUCCACUUUUGAAUAAUCUUUCAUACUGUAGAAUGAUGGACUUUAAAUUGUUUGGAAAUGGCCUUACAAACCUUUCCAGUUUAAUGUGCAGCAUUUGUUGCUUAUCUAAGAUCAUUGCUGAUGUCUUCCCUCCUUGACAUUGUGUUUACACACAUGCUUACAUUGCUACAACUUUGGCUUUUAUAGAGAUGGUCGCACUUGUUGAUGAUGUAAUGAAUCUGAUGAUCAAUGAUUAUGAUCAAUUAAGGGCAUUUGAUUAGCAGCAACUGUCUGCUAUUUAGCCUCUUAAUUCCUCUUAAUUAGGAGUGUGCUUAACAUUCACACAUGGCUUUGCCGUUUUGGCUCUAUUUUUGUUAACUAAAUCAUGACAUGGUGUAAGAUGUCAUGUGUUGUUGCUCAUCUAAGGAUAUGUCCUUAUAUG